AUACGGAGGGUGCAAGCGUUACUCGGAAUCACUGGGCGUAAAGGAUACGUAGGCUGGAUGUCAAGUUGGAAGUGAAAUCCUAUGGCUUAACCAUAGAACUGCUUCCAAAACUGGCAACCUAGAGUGAGGGAGAGGCAGAUGGAAUUAGUGGUGUAGGGGUAAAAUCCGUAGAUAUCACUAGGAAUACCGAUUGCGAAGGCGAUCUGCUAGAACUCUACUGACGCUAAGGCAUGAAAGCGUGGGGAGCAAACAGGAUUAGAAACCCGAGUAGUCC
rnacentral:rRNA from 1 species